rnacentral:rRNA from 1 species
AUUGAACGCUGGCGGCAGGCCUAACACAUGCAAGUCGAACGAGUGGCGGACGGGUGAGUAAGGACCGGGAAAAGGCCUGAUGGAGGGGGAUAACAACUGGAAACGGUAACUAAAAACGCAUACCAUCGGAUGUGCCCAGAUAGGAUUAGCUUGUUGGUGGGGUAACGGCUCACCAAGGCGACGAUCCAUAGCUGGUGUGAGAGGAUGACCAGCCACACUGGGACUGAGACACGGUCCAGACUCCUACGGGAGGCAGCAGUGGGGAAUUUUGGACAAUGGGCGCAAUCCUGAUGCAGCCAUGCCGCGUGUAUGAAGAAGGCCUUCGGGUUGUAAAGUACUUUCAGCGGGAAGGCGUUACCCGCAGAAGAAGCACCGGCUAACUCCGUGCCAGCAGCCGCGGUAAUUC